AUUGAACGCUGGCGGCAGGCUUAACACAUGCAAGUCGAGCGGGGGAGGUUGCUUCGGUAACUGACCUAGCGGCGGACGGGUGAGUAAUGCUUAGGAAUCUGCCUAUUAGUGGGGGACAACAUCUCGAAAGGGAUGCUAAUACCGCAUACGUCCUACGGGAGAAAGCAGGGGACCUUCGGGCCUUGCGAUAAUAGAUGAGCCUAAGUCGGAUUAGCUAGUUGGUGGGGUAAAGGCCUACCAAGGCGACGAUCUGUAGCGGGUCUGAGAGGAUGAUCCGCCACACUGGGACUGAGACACGGCCCAGACUCCUACGGGAGGCAGCAGUGGGGAAUAUUGGACAAUGGGGGGAGCCCUGAUCCAGCCAUGCCGCGUGUGUGAAGAAGGCCUUUUGGUUGUAAAGCACUUUAAGCGAGGAGGAGGCUACUGGUAUUAAUACUACCGGAUAGUGGACGUUACUCGCAGAAUAAGCACCGGCUAACUCUGUGCCAGCAGCCGCCGUAAUAC
rnacentral:rRNA from 1 species